CUCUCACUAAACCACAAUCGUUUCAUCCGCCGCUCCACCUUUCUCUACAAACCCUAGAUCCUCCAUCGCUCCUCCACCUUUCAUCCAUGGAACCGGUCGUCGCCAUCACCGUCUUCUCCCCUUUCAUCCAUGGAACCGGUACCGUUUUUUACCCUAUCUUUUGAAGACGAAGACCGAUGAACAGGUGAAAGAGAUAACACUGCGACUUGGUUCAAGAACCUUCAAAUUCAGCCUUAGUGAAAUGUGAAUACAGUUGAAGAUGAAGACCGUGGGGUCUUCAUUCUUUUGUGAGCAUCAUGUUGGCUGUUUGCUGGAUGCACUCGCGAAUCGUGGUCUGUCGAAUACAUUGGCUACUCGGAUAUUGGUGAGAUUUUCAUGGUUUCUAGGGUUUUUAUGUCUAAAUAUGUGGAAGCUGGUGUUUUAACUUUUGAAUACAUUGGCUACUCGGAUAUUGGUUGAAGCAGGGGCUGGCGGUCAGAGUUUUGGAAUUCAUGUUGCAGAGUUUGCAAACUUUCCUAAAAGUGUUGUUUUUCUUGCUAGAGAAAAAGCUGUUGAGUUGGAGGGUUUCUCACAUCUUUUAGCUAUAUCAAAUUGGUCUGAACAAGUGGUAUUUUUCUAAUCAGCUAAUCAACCCAUUCCUAAUGGAAGCUUGCAACUGGGGAAUUAAAUCAUCUUUUCAUUCGAUAUUGUUUUUUACAUAAAUGGAAGCACUUAUAUUUGUAAGAGAAGAGGCCUCCUAUGAUGAUGUUGCAGCUCAAAUGAAGUUGAUUCAAACGCCAAGCCUGAAUCAGAUGACAGUUAGUUUAGAGUGAAUCUGUGAGAUAUGUGGCUAAAAAGCUAUAAUUCGAAUCGGCGUGUGUGAGUGUUCGGUGUUGUAUCUUCGACACAAGGUGGGGUGGGGCAUCAUGGGGUGUAUUUGAAUCAGCAUGUGUGAGUGCUCGGUGUUAUAUUGUGACCGAAGACAGGGUAAGGGCAUCAUGGGGUGUCUUAUGGAAGGAAGCACGGUGUUUGCCUUUGAAGAAUAUUUUAUUAAAUAUGCCACACCGGAAGAGGCUAAUAAGGUGUACACGCCUUAAAGCAGGCCGAGGUUCAGGCACAAGCAUAUGCCCAAGCUGGUCUCUCUUCAACAACACCAUCAGUUCUCACUAUGGGCUCAAAGGUUGUCUAAGUAGGCGAUUUUCAGCAUAUCAAAUGAUGCAGCUAGGCUUCAAUCAGCUGGUAGAUCAGCAUCAAAUGAUGCAGCUGGGCUUCAAUCAGCUACAGCAUGGGAAGCCGUUGAGCCGAGCCGAGAGACACGAGCUUGUUAAACGACAUGUUUCGAGUAACCGGCAGGUUAAUCUUGGUAAGAUAUAACUAUUAACUGUUUAAGUGAAGCAGUUAUGGUUAAUGUUAGUUGAAAUGACAGGAGAAACCUUGUGGUAAGAUUAUUCUUAGGACUGGUGGUGUGCUGUAUCUUUUUCGGGAUAGACAUUAUGAUCCGCACAACAGGCCGAAAUACCCUGUGAUGCUGUGGAAGCCUGCGUCUUUCUUGGUCAAAAGACCUAAUAUGGUGUGCCUUAGUAUUAAAAGACCUAGGUGAUUAGCUUGGUUGAACAAGUUAAAAUGGUUUGGUUUUGAGUGGUUUUUUUUUUUUCUUGAAGUCGUUCGUAUUAAAAUUUUAAAAUGAUGAAGGCAGUUUGUUAAUAUAUUACAUAUAAGUAAAUGUAUAGUUAAACAACUGGUUUCAAGCUUUAUACCGUCAAAACUGAACUUGGACCAAACCAUUAAAUGAUCAAAACUGACUGAAGUAGAGGUGAACAAUACCGGGUUUUUUAGGCGUUCAGGUAUGAACCCGGGUACAGGUAAGACCAGGUAUGUUUUUUUUCGUGUAUUGGCAAUAACUGGGUUGUGUUCGGGAGACGACUAAUAAACUAACGGGUAAACAAGUAUCCUAAAAUUGCAGCUGGCUAGAUACUUAUUAGUGUGAAGUUUUUUAAUAAUAUAAACUUGCAAGCUACAAGUGGAACUUUAAUGGGUAUACUAUUUUCUUUUUAAUUUUAAGUCUUGCCUGAUCAGUUUUGUUAAACACUAAUUUUCAAUAUUGCAGCUGAUCUUUCAACAGCCUGGGAUGCAAAUUUGUUCACCAGAUCUUGGUACAAACAUCACUAUUUAGCCUUUCUCAGCAUUAUUUGGUACAGCCUUCUGUUUUCUGUUCGCCUUUAAACCCACUUUGAGGAUUCAAAUCGGAGUUGUUUUAACAGCUGUAAUACAUGGUCAAGCAUUGGAACUCUACAACUUUUCCCAUGCUUUUUGAUAUUGGAACCUGACAUCUCCUACAACACAAUACAACACAAGUGAUGAGUCAAAAAAUGGCUAUUUCAAAAAGUUGGAGAAUGCUAAAGAGAGGUUGCAUCUUUUCAAGGCAUACAAGAUACAGGUUAUUGGCUGGCUGCCUCCAAUUAAAAGUUAUAAAAAAAACAUUAUCAUGAGAGAUCCUCAGAAACAAAUCAACAAAUCGUUGUAAUUAUUGUUACAAAUUUAUAACGUUUAUUUUUUAUCGAGUAAUGUUUAUCGUUGUAAUUUUGUUAACAAAUUUAUGAUGUUCAGCAUAUUGCACUUCGUAUU